rnacentral:rRNA from 1 species
AUUGAACGCUGGCGGCAGGCCUAACACAUGCAAGUCGAGCGAGCGGCGGACGGGUGAGUAAUGCCUGGGAAUUGCCCCGUAGCGGGGGAUAACAGAUGGAAACGACUGCUAAUACCGCAUAGGAUUGGAUUGCCCAGGUGGGAUUAGCUAGUUGGGGAGGUAAUGGCUCACCAAGGCAACGAUCCCUAGCUGGUCUGAGAGGUUGAUCAGCCACACUGGGACUGAGACACGGGCCAGACUCCUACGGGAGGCAGCAGGGGGGAAUAUUGCGCAAUGGGGGAAACCCUGAUGCAGCCAUGCCGCGUGUGUGAAGAAGGCCUUCGGGUUGUAAAGCACUUUCGUCGGGGAGGCGUUACUCGCAGAAGAAGCACCGGCUAACUCCGUGCCAGCCGCCGCGGUAAUUC